rnacentral:lncRNA from 1 species
GUGCAGCGCCGCCUCCCGUUCGCCUCUGCGCCUGGCCCGGCGACUGCGGGCGCUGCGGUCCACUGGGUCCGCCUCUUCCCGGCAUGGGUUUCUGCCCAGCUCACCCGCUGUCAGCUGGGGUCCUGCUCUGGUGGGAGGAAGAGGCUCAGACGCUUCCCUGCCCUCUCGCCUCAACCACCUCGAGGCAGCGGCUCCCAGGAUGUGCACUUUGACGACUAAAGCUGAGCCGGCGCCGCCACGACCUUGGGCGGGUGGUCGGCCUCUGCCCUGAGCAGGAAGUAGAAAGUCUCAGCAGACCCUUCCUGAGGGCCGAGCAACAGUGUAGUGGCGUAUUCCACAUAGCAAACAGGGACCCUGGGAGCAUCUGUGUUCUCGUGUUCUUCUUGCCUGUGAGGCCUCUUCUCUCUGAGGACAGAUGGUAGGACAGAGAGAAGACAGCAAAUGGAAAACAAAGGCUGCUAUUUUUUUGUGGGAGAAAAAGUCAUGUGAUGACACACCAAGAAGGUGGCUGUCUGCAAGCCAGGAAGAGAGGCCUUACCAGAAACCAAUCCUGGUGCACCUUAAUCUCAAACUUGAGCCUCCAGGACUGUACGAAAAUAAAUAUUUGUUGUGUAAGCACCCCCAGUGUAUGCUAUUCUGUUAUGGCAGCCCUAGCACACUAAUAUAAAUGCCUACUGCCUGCAAAGUGCUUUGCCUUUGAGGGUUGCAAAAGAGGAUCCCCUCCAGGGAUCCAUGGUCUCAUUGGGAUUUUCCUGUUUGGUCUGUGUCCUGUUCUUGAGUCUCCGCAGGCAGCAUUUCUUCCUGUGACAAUAUGGUGUAAGACAAAAUUGUGGCCUGCCAUGAAGUUGUGAGAGAAAAGCAUCCCUCAUUUCUUCAGGAAAGGCCACUGCCGUUCCCUCCGGCUCCUCUUCUCAGGAGUUUGUGCAUUCAUGAGGUGAAUUCCUUGGAAGAUGAGGGCCAAGUCUUAUUCUUCUCAGUCUCUUCUGCAUCUAGCAGAAGAAUAAUGGUUGCACAGAAAAUCUUGGUUCAGUGGUUGAGUGAAUGAAUGGAUGAACAGGCUCUUGCACACAAAGAAGAGACAUGAUGUAUUUGCAUCCUUCCCUGCUUCAGCCAGGUCCCCAGACAGUCCCGGUGUGCACACUUCCCUGCUUCUGUUCAUGAUGUUCUCUGAACCUGGGAUCACCUUUCCCCUUCCUCUUACCUGCCCGAUCCUACUUGUCCUCCCAGAUUCAGUUUUCUGAAGCUCAGAGGGACACCUUGUAUUGCUGGAUGAUAAAAACAGGAGCAAAGUGAUGAAGUGCUGACAAGGCAACAAUAGAACAUGAGAGAUUCACUGCUGUGUAGGAAGAGAUCUUCGGUGACCAUGUAGCCUGAAGCUCUCAUUUUGUCAUCGAGGGACACCAAAACUCAGAACAGCAGCAGCUCACGCUGCUGAUGCAACACAGGUGAAGAGCACCUUCCCCUCCCCCACCUGUGGGCUGAUUCCCACCACGUGGAUCCCAAGGCCAUCCCAGGAACUCUUUGGAGGGGAGAAGCCCAGUGGAAACUGUCAGGCCUCUGAGCACAAGCCAAGCCAUCGCAUCCCCUGUGACUUGCACGUAUAUGCCCAGAUGGCCUGAAGUAACUGAAGAAUCACAAAAGAAGUGAAAAGGCCCUGCCCCACCUUAACUGAUGACAUUCCACCAUUGUGAUUUGUUCCUGCCCCACCUUCACUGAGUGAUUAACCCUGUGAAUUUCCUUCUCCUGGCUCAGAAGCUCCCCCACUGAGCACCUUGUGACCCCCGCCCCUGCCCACCAGAGAACAACCCCCUUUGACUGUAAUUUUCCAUUACCUUCCCAAAUCCUAUAAAACGGCCCCACCCCUAUCUCCCUUCGCUGACUCUCUUUUCGGACUCAGCCCGCCUGCACCCAGGUGAAAUAAACAGCCAUGUUGCUCACA